CAGUCGCCGCGGUAAUACGAGGGGGGCAAGCGUUGUUCGGAAUUAUUGGGCGUAAAGGGUGCGUAGGCGGCCCCGCAAGUCUCAUGUGAAAUCUUCAAGCUCAACUUGAAGUCUGCAUGGGAAACUGCGGGGCUGGAGUAUGGGAGAGGUGAGUGGAAUUCCUGGUGUAGCGGUGAAAUGCGUAGAUAUCAGGAGGAACACCUGUGGCGAAAGCGGCUCACUGGACCAUAACUGACGCUGAGGCACGAAAGCUAGGGGAGCAAACAGGAUUAGAUACCCCCGUAGUCCCUGUCUCUUAUAA
rnacentral:rRNA from 1 species